rnacentral:rRNA from 1 species
CAAGUCGAGCGGUAAGGCUCCUCCAGGCUACUUAAGCGAAAGUUUGAGUGGUGCGGUGGAGUACACGAGCGGCGGACGGCUGAGUAACACGUAGGAACGUACCCCAAACUGAGGGAUAAGCACCAGAAAUGGUGUCUAAUACCGCAUGUGAUCUUCGGAUUAAAGCUACGGCGGUUUGGGAACGGCCUGCGCAUGAUUAGUUUGUUGGUGAGGUAAUGGCUCACCAAGACUACGAUCAUUAGCUGGUCUGAGAGGAUGAUCAGCCAGACUGGGACUGAGAACGGCCCAGACUCCUACGGGAGGCAGCAGUAGGGAAUUUUCCACAAUGGACGAAAGUCUGAUGGAGCAACGCCGCGUGCAGGAUGAAGGCUUUCGGGUCGUAAACUGCUUUUAUAUGUGACGAUUUUGACGGUAGCAUAUGAAUAAGGAUCGGCUAACUCCGUGCCAGCAGCCGCGGUCAUACGGAGGAUCCAAGCGUUAUCCGGAAUUACUGGGCGUAAAGAGUUGCGUAGGUGGCAGAGUAAGUCUGUAGUGAAAGCGUUCGGCUCAACCGAAUAUACAUUAUGGAAACUGCUCAGCUAGAGGAUGAGAGAGGUUAUUGGAAUUCCCAGUGUAGGAGUGAAAUCCGUAGAUAUUGGGAGGAGCACCGAUGGCGUAGGCAGAUAACUGGCUCAUUCCUGACACUAAGGCACGAAAGCGUGGGGAGCAAACGGGAUUAGAUACCCCGGUAGUCCACGCCGUAAACUAUGGAUACUAGCUGUGAGAGGUAUCGACCCCUCUCGUAGCGAAGCUAACGCGUUAAGUAUCCCGCCUGUGGA